UACGUAGGGGGCAAGCGUUGUCCGGAUUUACUGGGCGUAAAGAGCGCGUAGGCGGAACGUUAAGCGGGGCCGGAAAGCCCCCGGCUCAACCGGGGAAGGGGCCGCGAACUGGCGUUCUUGAGGGGGAGAGGGGAGAGCGGAAUUCCUGGUGUAGCGGUGAAAUGCGUAGAGAUCAGGAGGAACACCCAUGGCGAAGGCAGAUCUCUGGGCCGUAACUGACGCUGAGGAGCGAAAGCAUGGGGAGCGAACAGG
rnacentral:rRNA from 1 species